GACGAACGCUGGUGGCGUGCUUAACACAUGCAAGUCGAACGGGAUUUAGUAAACAGAAGCCUCGGUGGAAGAUUACUAAUGAGAGUGGCGAACGGGUGAGUAACGCGUGAGCAACCUGCCUAUGACAGUGGGAUAGCCUCGGGAAACCGGGAUUAAUACCGCAUAAAAUCGUAGAAACACAUGUUUUAACGGUCAAAGAUUUAUCGGUCAUAGAUGGGCUCGCGUCUGAUUAGCUAGUUGGUGAGAUAACAGCCCACCAAGGCGACGAUCAGUAGCCGGUCUGAGAGGAUGAACGGCCACAUUGGAACUGAGACACGGUCCAAACUCCUACGGGAGGCAGCAGUGUGGAAUAUUGCACAAUGGGGGAAACCCUGAUGCAGCGACGCCGCGUGAACGAAGAAGGUAUUCGUAUCGUAAAGUUCUGUCCUAUGGGAAGAUAAUGACAGUACCAUAGAAGAAAGCUCCGGCUAAAUACGUG
rnacentral:rRNA from 1 species